rnacentral:lncRNA from 1 species
CAGAAGCCAAAACCCAAUCANCUUUGGAAUAAUCGAUUAAAGCAAGUUUUAAUCGAUUAAUUAAUCGAUUAAUCCUGACAAUAAUCGAUUAAUACUAGCCGUUGGAGGUUUCUAAUUUGAAAAACUAGCCGUUGUACUUAUUUUAAUCGAUUAACACUAAUAUUAAUCGAUUAAAUGUGUUAAAUGGCCAGUUUCGUAGAAUGGAAGAGUUUUUGCUUGAGUCUAUUUAUAGGCUCUCUUUAUCCAUCAACAACAACUCUUCCCUUGCGCUAAAACACUCAGAACUCUUUGAGAAGUGUGUGCUCUUGCUCAGCUAAGGAAAC